rnacentral:lncRNA from 1 species
GGAGAACGAUAAUCCGAGUAAUGUUUAGGUCUAUAUUCUAUCGGUUGUCAGAAGUGCUGUCGCUUGGAGGAACAAAGGCGGAGCAGUGUCGUUGCUUGAAGGGGUAUCGAUCGAUUAGAUUAGUUUAGGCAAGUCUUCGAGGUUUGAUGGAGCACCGUUGUUGUGAGGAAGAAGAAAAGUUGCGGGUUCAAUGGAUGGUGUGAUCCGCUUGACGGUAGUCAUCUUUGCAAAUGUCCAUCUUGAGGGUGUGACUAACUUGAAGAAGCCAUCAAUUUGAAAUAGUCUUGAGAAAGUGCCAUCAUCAUGUUGUAGCCAAUUUGAUAUUGUCUUGAGAAGCGGCCAUCACAAAUAUAUGACUGACAUGAGGUCGUUUGAAGAAGGGACUAUCAUGAUAGUGCGAUUAACUUGAGGUCAUCUUGAAAAAGUAACCAUCAUGAUGGUGCAACCAACAUGAGUUUGCCACAUGAGGAAGCAACCGCUAUAGCAAGUAUGUGUAUGAGCAUCUUUUGACCUUAGAGUGAGAUCCAAUUUUGGACACAUAUUACCCCCCCAACACAAGGUCAAUCAUCGAGCAAAGUGUGUGACAUGCACAUUGCAGCACUCACGAUCACACAUAUCCUAAUUGGACAAAGUGUGUGACAUGCUUGAUAUGACCCUCGUAGACAUUGUGUCUUCAUUCUAUCGAUACAUUCAGUGUAUGACAUGCCCGAUGUAGCCCUCAUGACCAAGUGUCACCUUAUGCUCGAUAUGCCUUAAUCAAGCAAAGCAUGGAUUCACUCUCACGACCCUCAUGGCUAAAGCACAUCCCCACACUCGAUGCACCUUAAUUAUACAAAGUGUGUGACACAUUCGAUGUUACCCUUGUGGCCAAUGUGUCUUCCGACAUUUGAUGCACCCAACAUGACCUUCACCAUCAACACGCCUCCUCAUACUCCAAUAUGCCUUAAGCAUAUGAUGUGUCCCAUGUGGCACUUGCAACCAAGGCAUCUCCCCAC